AGAAAAAAAACGUCAACCCCUGCUUUGUAAACUCAUUCCGUACUAUCACUACUUUUGAGCCAAGGCCGCAAACUUCUCAACGAGUCUAGUGAAACAGAUAGUUUCCCACUCUGUUCGCAUCGUUUUAGAGCAGUUACACACAUGCAGGACAGCAGCCCCAGAAUAGUUAUGGACAAGAUCAUCUGUAAAUCCUUCCGCUUUCUGAAGGAUAUGCAACAUUAAGCCAACUGCAUCCCGGGGAUAAAUGAUAUGGAACCGCCUUCAUUAGAAUGGAAUUCCGAAGAGCAACGGUUGGACACAGAAUUUUACGAGAUAUCUAUAUGUCAACUGUAUGUAUUUUUUAUGAUAAAAUG